CUAGUACUGGUAUCAGGUUCAGGAGCAUCAACUGUAGGCAUCAAAGUCGAAGAUGUAGAAAGAGGAGGAGAUGGAGACGGUGCAGGUGCCGAAGAGGGAGGUACAGCAGGAGGAGGACGAGGAGAAGGUAGGACUACUGCAGCUGAGUCAUACGACUGUCCCUGAACUGCAGCAUUUGGACCACUACCAAUUCUCACAGCAUUACUGAAAAAAUUCACGAAGGAACGAUCAUCUGGGACAUCUGCAGUAUUUGAUGUAGUAGAUGAUGGCUCCAGG
rnacentral:misc_RNA from 1 species